rnacentral:rRNA from 1 species
GGUGGGUAGUUUGACUGGGGCGGUCUCCUCCUAAAGAGUAACGGAGGAGCACGAAGGUUGGCUAAUCCUGGUCGGACAUCAGGAGGUUAGUGCAAUGGCAUAAGCCAGCUUGACUGCGAGCGUGACGGCGCGAGCAGGUGCGAAAGCAGGUCAUAGUGAUCCGGUGGUUCUGAAUGGAAGGGCCAUCGCUCAACGGAUAAAAGGUACUCCGGGGAUAACAGGCUGAUACCGCCCAAGAGUUCAUAUCGACGGCGGUGUUUGGCACCUCGAUGUCGGCUCAUCACAUCCUGGGGCUGAAGUAGGUCCCAAGGGUAUGGCUGUUCGCCAUUUAAAGUGGUACGCGAGCUGGGUUUAGAACGUCGUGAGACAGUUCGGUCCCUAUCUGCCGUGGGCGCUGGAGAACUGAGGGGGGCUGCUCCUAGUACGAGAGGACCGGAGUGGACGCAUCACUGGUGUUCGGGUUGUCAUGCCAAUGGCACUGCCCGGUAGCUAAAUGCGGAAGAGAUAAGUGCUGAAAGCAUCUAAGCACGAAACUUGCCCCGAGAUGAGUUCUCCCUGACUCCCUGAGAGUCCUGAAGGAACGUUGAAGACGACGACGUUGAUAGGCCGGGUGUGUAAGCGCAGCGAUGCGUUGAGCUAACCGGUACUAAUGAACCGUGAGG